GCCAGCACGGUGUAGUGGUUUGAGCGUUUGACUAUGACUCUGGAGACUGGGGUUUGAAUCCCCACUUGGCC